rnacentral:sRNA from 1 species
GCCGGGCACAGUGGGGCAUGCCUAUAAUCCCAGUGGCUUGGGAGGCUGAGGCAGGAGGAUUAAGAGUUCAAAGCCAGCCUCAGCAAAAGUGAGGCACUAAGCAACUCAGUGAGACCCUGUCUCUA